GACGAACGCUGGCGGCGUGCUUAACACAUGCAAGUCGUACGGUAAGGCCCUUUCGGGGGUACACGAGUGGCGAACGGGUGAGUAACACGUGAGUAACCUGCCCACAACUUUGGGAUAACGCUAGGAAACUGGUGCUAAUACUGGAUAUGUGCUCCUGCUGCAUGGUGGGGGUUGGAAAGCUCCGGCGGUUGUGGAUGGACUCGCGGCCUAUCAGCUUGUUGGUGGGGUAGUGGCCUACCAAGGCGGCGACGGGUAGCCGGCCUGAGAGGGUGACCGGCCACAGUGGGACUGAGAUACGGCCCAGACUCCUACGGGAGGCAGCAGUGGGGAAUAUUGCACAAUGGGCGCAAGCCUGAUGCAGCAACGCCGCGGGCGGGAGGACGGCCUUCGGGUUGUAAACCGCGUUCAGCAGGGACGAAGCUUUUUGUGACGGUACCUGCAGAAGAAGCACCGGCUAACUACGUG
rnacentral:rRNA from 1 species